rnacentral:lncRNA from 1 species
UUCAGUCUCUCUUUGGGUGAAUUGGUGCCGCUUGCCGGAAAAUAAUAAGCAACACAAAAAAUUCAUGAAGGAGUUGAUCGACUGGUAUGCGCUCUUUCCUGUCUCUCCUUAUAAUCUUAAUAUUCUUAAGUUUACGACAACCAUCAUUUUUUCCUUUGAUCUUUAUUGUUUUACCCAUAAGACAACCCUUAAUUAAGAAUUAGGAUGUAUAUUACUUUAUUCUUGAUUUUCCUUUUCAAAGUGACGAUUGUUUGUUACUGUUGAUUAAAAAAAUAUGAUAAGGUUGUGGGUUUGGACUAUUUGAAGAAAUUAAAAAAUAAGAAUUUAGAAGUUGUUGCACGACAACAUGUGUUUGAUUAUAUUAGAAUAAUCAUGUAUAUACCUUUCUUCUAGUUUUUUUGGACAAAUUAAAUGAUUUAUUUGGUAAAUGAAGGAUUUUUCGAUCAUGAUUAUAAACAUUUAUAAGUAAGGUAGACUUUUUCUUUCAUAAAUUUGGGCAAUCUUGAGUUCUUGACUGUGUUAACAUUUUUUGCGGUUGCUUUUGAAGUGGACCAGGUCCAUGCUCAUUUAGUUUGUUGUUGACCUUUAACCCUACAAUCGUAUAGAGGAGUGCAAAUUUAUUUUUGUUGUUGCCAUACACUGACACUGGUUUGGUGUGAUUGAUUCAAAACAGGACAAAUACAAUCUAGAGAGGAGGAUCAAACAUGUAAGUCAUUAUGGAAAAAUGAUUGAGUUAUAUUAUCCAAAUUAUAAAAAAAGGUGGAACCAACAUCAAUGAAAAAAUUAUUCCUCAAGAAUAUUUGUAUCUUCAAGAAUGACUCUUUAUUCAAAAAGAUGAGGAUUGAACCUAUGGAUGGAAGAGGAAAGAGAGAUUAAUUUUUUUCUUAUUAAUUUUAUGUCGUAUUCUUUGAGAAUGUUUUUUUUUUCAAAAAUACUAAAUGAUUCUUAAAAAAUGUAGACCUUAUGUACAUCAAGAGUGCUCUAUUUGUAAUUCUUA